AUGGAGGAAGUCACGCCACUGCAACUACUAACCACUGGGAUUGAAGGGACUUGGUAAUCGCAUGACCAAGCUAGAUGUAGACAUGGGUUUUGUGAAGGAACCUGAAGAACAUCAAGAGAUCUCAGCCUGAGUGACUAUUUCAAGCUUUCUGCCUGUCUUCACUGUUGUUUGCAGUGACAGGGCUCAUUCUUCAGUGUUGUCUUGAGAAUAAACAUGUCAGAUGGAGAUGACAAAGUCCUUAGGCACUUUUGGUCAGAUUUCUUUGAAUUUUAGAUGACCAACCAGGAAAGUGACAUAAAGGAGAGACAGUAUAACCAAAUGGGUUUAAAUCCUUAUCACUGUGCUGCAGGUGUGGAGAGUUUCCCAGCUGAAAUUACUCAUUAGAUCUGGGAGAUGCUUAUGCCCAAGGAGGCCACCUUUGCACAGCCAUUAGCAUCUCUAAUGACAUGAUCAGAGCUCCCAUCCUUUCUCACUCAAAAUGUCCUACCAAGACUCCUACAUUGCGUGUAUAUCAUCAUUUGGAAAACACCCACAUGCUUCAUUGUCCGGAGGUAUUUUUUCCUUGUGCCAAUGGACAUGCUGACAAUGCUCUUAUUUUAUUUAUAUAUUUAUUUUGCAAGCGGCGUACAGCCUUUUGCUUGGGAAAAUAUUUGCAGAAACUUUGGCAAGGGUAGCCUUAGCUUUGCCCUGUGCUUCCUGCAGGUCCACGGGGAACCCGGGCUCCUGAACAAUGGGCUCAGGCUCUCAGCCUUCAAUGUUUUGACCUUUCCACAUUUUGGUUGCAAAUCACUGUGUACACACACAACAUCGGCUGUACUUUCUCAGCCCCAAUUGUUUGAAACCGCCUAAAAACUUCCUAUUAAGCAAACGGAUUAAAAUGACCGCAUCGUUUUCCCUCUCCCCAACUGUUUGGUACCUACAAAACAACUCGAUUAGUACAAUUUGUAAAAAUCCCUACAAUAGUGGCACUUUGUUAUUUCCUGCUCACACACCUGAUAAUAUUGCACCCUAUGCUAACCAGGGAAAACACUGCUACUGCUUCUGGGCUCUGCAGGGCACUGCAAAAAUUAACUCUGGAAAAGGUGUUGUGGAAAAUGUGUUAUGGCAGCAUUUUUGGAUGCAGCUAAGUGUGUUGUGUUCUCUUUGCUUCUUCUGUGUUUGUCAUGGCUGGACACCAGAAAGCCCCCAUGUGCUCGCAGGAAGAGGUGAACUCUCCAGGCUGGGUCUGCUCAGCAUCGUGUCUGCUGCUGCCUCGUGGUCAGCACCCAGGAGAGAGGAAAAUGGAAUCGAGGUCCGAGGAACACCCUGGCGUGAUUUUCCUUUGCCUGUGGCUGCACCUGUUUCAUGGAGCCAAGAGCCUCCAAUGGGUCUUCCUCCCAGGAAUUUCUCACCGGUUCUUCAGACCCAUUGA
rnacentral:lncRNA from 1 species